rnacentral:rRNA from 1 species
GACGAACGCUGGCGGCGCGCUUAACACAUGCAAGUCGAACGGAAAGGCCUGCUUUCCCUUGUGGAUUGCGGGUACUCGAGUGGCGAACGGGUGAGUAACACGUGAGUGAUCUGCCCCCAACUUGGGUAUAAGCCUGGGAAACUGGGUCUAAUUCCCGAUAGGACUGCAGGGUGGUGCCUGUGGUGGAAAACGAUUUUCUAGUGGUUGGGGAUGAGCUCGCGGCCUAUCGGCUUGUUGGUGGGGUAAUGGCCUACCAAGGCGGCGACGGGUAGCCGGCCUGAGAGGGUGGACGGCCACAUUGGGACUGAGAUACGGCCCAGACUCCUACGGGAGGCAGCAGUGGGGAAUAUUGCACAAUGGGCGGAAGCCUGAUGCAGCGACGCCGCGUGGGGGAUGACGGCCUUCGGAUUGUAAACUCCUUUCGACCGCGAGGAAGCCACCUGGUUGGAAGGGUGGUGACGGUAGUGGUAGAAGAAGCACCGGCUAACUACGUG